rnacentral:rRNA from 1 species
GACGAACGCUGGCGGCGUGCCUAAUACAUGCAAGUUGAGCGCUGAAGGUUGGUACUUGUACCAACUGGAUGAGCAGCGAACGGGUGAGUAACGCGUGGGGAAUCUGCCUUUGAGCGGGGGACAACAUUUGGAAACGAAUGCUAAUACCGCAUAAAAACUUUAAACACAAGUUUUAAGUUUGAAAGAUGCAAUUGCAUCACUCAAAGAUGAUCCCGCGUUGUAUUAGCUAGUUGGUGAGGUAAAGGCUCACCAAGGCGAUGAUACAUAGCCGACCUGAGAGGGUGGUCGGCCCAAAUGGGAACGGGACACGGCCCAAACCCCUACGGGGGGCAGCAGGAGGGAAUCUUCGGCAAUGGACGGAAGUCUGACCGAGCAACGCCGCGUGAGUGAAGAAGGGUUUCGGAUCGGAAAACUCUGUUGGUAGGGAAGAACGUUGGUGAGAGUGGAAAGCUCAUCAAGUGACGGUAACUACCCAGAAAGGGACGGCUAACUACGUG